AGAGACGAGUCAGAGUUUGAUCCUGGCUCAGGACGAACGCUGGCGGCGUGCUUAACACAUGCAAGUCGAGCGGGGACAUGGAGGAGCUUGCUCUGAGAUGUUCUAGCGGCGGACGGGUGAGUAACGCGUGAGCAACCUUUCUCUCAGUGGGGAAUAACACAGGGAAACUUGUACUAAUACCGCAUGGGACCACGACCUGGCAUCUGGUUGGGGUGAAAGAUUUAUCGCUGAGAGGUGGGCUCGCGUCCGAUUAGGUAGUUGGUGAGGUAACGGCCCACCAAGCCGACGAUCGGUAGCCGACCUGAGAGGGUGAUCGGCCACAUUGGGACUGAGACACGGCCCAA
rnacentral:rRNA from 1 species